rnacentral:rRNA from 1 species
CUACGGGAUGCUCCAGUAGGGAAUAUUGCACAAUGGGCGAAAGCCUGAUGCAGCAACGCCGCGUGCGCGAUGAAGGCCUUCGGGUUGUAAAGCGCUUUUCUGAGGGAAGAGGAAGGACUGUACCUCAGGAAUAAGUCUCGGCUAACUACGUGCCAGCAGCCGCGGUAACACGUAGGAGGCAAGCGUUAUCCGGAUUUACUGGGCGUAAAGCGCGUGUAGGCGGUUUGGCAAGUCGGAUGUGAAAGCUCCUGGCUCAACUGGGAGAGGUCGUUCGAAACUGCCAGACUAGAGGACGGUAGAGGAAGAUGGAAUUCCCGGUGUAGUAGUGAUAUGCGUAGAUAUCGGGAGGAACACCAGUGGCGAAGGCGGUCUUCUGGGCCGUUCCUGACGCUGAGACGCGAAAGCAUGGGUAGCGAACGGGAUUAGAUACCCCGGUAGUC